rnacentral:rRNA from 1 species
GAUGAACGCUGGCGGCGUGCCUAAUACAUACAAGUCGAGCGAAUGGAUUAAGAGCUUGCUCUUAUGAAGUUAGCGGCGGACGGGUGAGUAACACGUGGGUAACCUGCCCAUAAGACUGGGAUAACUCCGGGAAACCGGGGCUAAUACCGGAUAACAUUUUGAACCGCAUGGUUCGAAAUUGAAAGGCGGCUUCGGCUGUCACUUAUGGAUGGACCCGCGUCGCAUUAGCUAGUUGGUGAGGUAACGGCUCACCAAGGCAACGAUGCGUAGCCGACCUGAGAGGGUGAUCGGCCACACUGGGAAUGAGACACGGCCCAGACCCCUACGGGAGGCAGCAGUAGGGAAUCUUCCGCAAUGGACGAAAGUCUGACGGAGCAACGCCGCGUGAGUGAUGAAGGCUUUCGGGUCGUAAAACUCUGUUGUUAGGGAAGAACAAGUGCUAGUUGAAUAAGCUGGCACCUUGACGGUACCUAACCAGAAAGCCACGGCUAACUACGUGCCAGCCGCCGCGGUAA